UGACUUGGUUUUAAGAUUAUUUUAUCAGUGA
rnacentral:piRNA from 1 species